GAUGAACGCUGGCGGCGUGCCUAAUACAUGCAAGUCGAGCGAACGGACGAGAAGCUUGCUUUUCUGAUGUUAGCGGCGGACGGGUGAGUAACACGUGGAUAACCUACCUAUAAGACUGGGAUAACUUCGGGAAACCGGAGCUAAUACCGGAUAAUAUUUUGAACCGCAUGGUUCAAAAGUGAAAGACGUUCUUGCUGUCACUUAUAGAUGGAUCCGCGCUGCAUUAGCUAGUUGGUAAGGUAACGGCUUACCAAGGCAACGAUGCAUAGCCGACCUGAGAGGGUGAUCGGCCGCACUGGAACUGAGACACGGUCCAGACUCCUACGGGAGGCAGCAGUAGGGAAUCUUCCGCAAUGGGCGAAAGCCUGACGGAGCAACGCCGCGUGAGUGAUGAAGGUCUUCGGAUCGUAAAACUCUGUUAUUAGGGAAGAACAUAUGUGUAAGUAACUGUGCACAUCUUGACGGUACCUAAUCAGAAAGCCACGGCUAGCUACGUG
rnacentral:rRNA from 1 species